rnacentral:rRNA from 1 species
GACAGAGGUCCCGAGCGUUAGGCGGAAUCAUUGGGCGUAAAGGGUGCGUAGGUGGCGUCGUAAGUCGGGUGUGAAAUUUCGGAGCUCAACUCCGAAACUGCAUUCGAUACUGCGGUGCUUGAGGACUGGAGAGGAGACUGGAAUUUACGGUGUAGCAGUGAAAUGCGUAGAGAUCGUAAGGAAGACCAGUGGCGAAGGCGGGUCUCUGGACAGUUCCUGACACUGAGGCACGAAGGCCAGGGGAGCAAACGGG